rnacentral:rRNA from 1 species
UACAGAGGUCUCAAGCGUUGUUCGGAUUCAUUGGGCGUAAAGGGUGCGUAGGCGGCGCGGUAAGUCGGGUGUGAAAUCUUGGAGCUUAACUCCGAAACUGCAUUCGAUACUGCCGUGCUUGAGGACUGGAGAGGAGACUGGAAUUUACGGUGUAGCGGUGAAAUGCGUAGAUAUCGUAAGGAAGACCAGUGGCGAAGGCGAGUCUCUGGACAGCAACUGACGCUGAGGCACGAAGGCCAGGGGAGCAAACGGG